UAGCUGGUUCUCAGGAAAAGAAUUUAAGUCCAACCUAAAGUAANCUUAAUUCACACAAAUNACCCAACUACUUUAGAGCAAUUCAAAUGAGGUACAGCCCAUUUGAUCCAGGAUACAACCUUUACUAACGGGUAACAUUAAAUCUACACCUUUAAGUAGGCCUAAGAGCAGCCACCUAUUAAAAAGCGUCAAAGCUUAAUCAUGUCCACAUCAAUUUUAAAUUUUUCCCCAUUGACCCCUUUAACUUUACUGAGAAUUUCUAUAUCGUAUANAACAUUUUAUGCUAAAACUAGNAACAAGAGAAAACCCUCUCCCAAUGCAAACACAAGCCAGCAAGAACCCAUCNNUGGCAAUUAACAGACUUAAACAAAAAUAGUAACAUUNCUAGAAAACCCUNUUCCCCUCANNUGUUAACCUAACACCAGAGCAUUUCANGAAAGAUUAAAAGAAAAAGAAGGAACUCGGCAAACCACUNACCCCGCCUGUUUANNAAAAANAUCGCCUCUUGCCUCCCAUAAGAGGUCAAGCCUGCCCAGUGACUUUGUUCAACGGCCGCGGUAUCCUAACCGUGCAAAGGUAGCGUAAUCACUUGUCUUCUAAAUAAAGACUGGUAUGAAAGGCAUCACGAGGGUUAAACUGUCUCCUUUCUCCAAUCAGUGAACCUAAUCNNCCCGUGAANAAGCGGGGAUUAUCNUAUAAGA
rnacentral:rRNA from 1 species